rnacentral:rRNA from 1 species
AUUGAACGCUGGCGGCAGGCCUAACACAUGCAAGUCGAGCGGAUGAAGGGAGCUUGCUCCUGGAUUCAGCGGCGGACGGGUGAGUAAUGCCUAGGAAUCUGCCUGGUAGUGGGGGAUAACGUCCGGAAACGGGCGCUAAUACCGCAUACGUCCUGAGGGAGAAAGUGGGGGAUCUUCGGACCUCACGCUAUCAGAUGAGCCUAGGUCGGAUUAGCUAGUUGGUGGGGUAAAGGCCUACCAAGGCGACGAUCCGUAACUGGUCUGAGAGGAUGAUCAGUCACACUGGAACUGAGACACGGUCCAGACUCCUACGGGAGGCAGCAGUGGGAAAUAUUGGACGAUGGGCGAAAGCCUGAUCCAGCCAUGCCGCGUGUGUGAAGAAGGUCUUCGGAUUGUAAAGCACUUUAAGUUGGGAGGAAGGGCAGUAAGUUAAUACCUUGCUGUUUUGACGUUACCAACAGAAUAAGCACCGGCUAACUUCGUG